rnacentral:rRNA from 1 species
GGAAUAGGACGGCGCUCCUAUUUUGUUGGUUUCUAGGAGAGCCGUAAUGAUUAAUAGGGACAGUUGGGGGCAUCCGUAUUCAGUUGUCAGAGGUGAAAUUCUUGGAUUUACUGAAGACGAACUACUGCGAAAGCAUUUGCCAAAGAUGUUUUCGUUAAUCAGUGAACGAAAGUUAGGGGAUCGAAGACGAUCAGAUACCGUCGUAGUCUUAACCAUAAACUAUGCCGACUAGGGAUCGGGCGAUGUUAUUGUAUUGACUCGCUCGGCACCUUUCGAGAAAUCAAAGUGUUUGGGUUCUGGGGAGUAUGGUCGCAAGGCUGAAACUUAAAGAAAUUGACGGAAGGGCACCACCAGGAGUGGAGCCUGCGGCUUAAUUUGACUCAACACGGGGAAACUCACCAGGUCCAGAUACACGUAGGAUUGACAGAUUGAGAGCUCUUUCUUGAUUGUGUAGUUGGUGGUGCAUGGCCGUUCUUAGUUGGUGGAGUGAUUUGUCUGCUUAAUUGCGAUAACGAACGAGACCUUCAUCGUUAACUAGCCCGGCUCGCCUUGGCGGGUCGCCGGCUUCUUAGCGAGACUUUUGGCUUAAGCCAAAGGAAGUUGGAGGCAAUAACAGGUCUGUGAUGCCCUUAGAUGUUCUGGGCUGCACGCGCGCUACACUGACAGAGGCAACGAGUUUCGUUCCUUGGCCGGAAGGCCUGGGUAAUCUGUAAGCUUGCCC